UACAGAGGGUGCGAGCGUUAAUCGGAAUUACUGGGCGUAAAGCGUGCGUAGGUGGUUUCUUAAGUCCGUUGUGAAAGCCCCGGGCUCAACCUGGGAAUGGCAGUGGAUACUGAGAGGCUAGAGUGUGUCAGAGGAUGGUGGAAUUCCCGGUGUAGCGGUGAAAUGCGUAGAGAUCGGGAGGAACAUCAGUGGCGAAGGCGGCCAUCUGGGACAACACUGACGCUGAGGCACGAAAGCGUGGGGAGCAAACAGG
rnacentral:rRNA from 1 species